AAAAAACAUAUGGAUGUUCAGACAGUUAUUGGAGAUAAUUUAUGUUCGGAGAUGACACUCUAAAGGUGCCAUUUACCAAAUGAAAUAAAUAGAGCAAUUGAUGUGCUAUAAUUUUUGAAGAAAAUAGAUGAUUGUUUAUCGAAUACCGACAAAAUUUAGUUAAUCAUACUGAAUUAUUAUUGAUUCAAAUGUUGUCUCAAACGGCUUAUUGCAUGCGAGUUUUAUGGAAAAAUCUGCUAAUUUUAAAUUCAAUAAUAAAAUGGCACAUAAUAUUCGCUUUGGCAAAAUCUUGAAUCUAAAAGCACUUCAGACACUGGAAAUGUAAAAUGCAAUGUCACAAAUCACACACACUAAAACAUAACUGCACCAUAAAAGUGAUGAUUACAAAAUCGUUGGUACUACUAGUGUGCAAAAGUAUGUAUCUAGUGAUUUACAUAAUGAUUUAAGUACACAUGUUGUGGUUAGAUAUGAUUCGGUCCGAAUUUCGUCCCAUAAAAAAAAAGCUUUCUUAACGUCUCAUGUACAAGUUCGAAGAGAAGCUAGGGUUGAUAUUUAAUUAUCAUAAACAUAAAAUGUACAAAACAAUCUGAAGUUCGAAGAUUCACCGAACAAACAAUAUUUAUCAAAAUCAAUUCCAAAUCAUUAAAUGUAUCAGUCAAAGUUUCUCUCCCGUAUAAACACCAACUAGUACCAAUAUAUUUCAAUUUGUAAUUCCAUCAAAUUUUUUUCCAAGAACAAAUUCAUAAAUAACAUUCAUUUCAAC
rnacentral:lncRNA from 1 species